rnacentral:pre_miRNA from 1 species
AAUUGUGUGAAUGGUGUUCAGCACCAAGGACAGGCAUGUUUGUGUGUGAAUGGUGUUCAGCACCAAGGACAGGCAUGUUUGCGU